rnacentral:piRNA from 1 species
UGGUAAUUGCAAUUGGGUUUGAUUCAC